AUUGAACGCUGGCGGCAGGCUUAACACAUGCAAGUCGAACGAGCGGCGGACGGGUGAGUAAUGUCUGGGAAACUGCCUGAUGGAGGGGGAUAACUACUGGAAACGGUAGCUAAUACCGCAUACCAUCAGAUUUGCCCAGAUGGGAUUAGCUAGUAGGUGGGGUAAUGGCUCACCUAGGCGACGAUCCCUAGCUGGUCUGAGAGGAUGACCGGCCACACUGGAACGGAGAAAGGGUCCAGACUCCUACGUGAGGCAGCAGUGGGGAAUAUUGCACAAGGGUCGAAAGCCUGAUGCAGCAAGGCCGCGUGGGUGAAGAAGGUCUUCGGGUUGUAAAGCCCUUUCAGUGAGGAGGCGGUACUCGAAGAGAAAGCAACGGCUAACUACGUGCCAGCAGCCGCGGUAAUUC
rnacentral:rRNA from 1 species